rnacentral:rRNA from 1 species
UACGUAGGGGGCAAGCGUUGUCCGGAUUUACUGGGCGUAAAGAGCGUGUAGGCGGCCACGCAGGUCCGUUGUGAAAACUGGAGGCUCAACCUUCAGACGUCGACGGAAACCGUGUGGCUAGAGUCCGGAAGAGGAGAGUGGAAUUCCUGGUGUAGCGGUGAAAUGCGCAGAUAUCAGGAGGAACACCCGUGGCGAAGGCGGUUCUCUGGGACGGUACUGACGCUGAGACGCGAAAGCGUGGGGAGCGAACAGG